GACGUAGGGCGCGAGCGUUGUCCGGAUUUAUUGGGCGUAAAGAGCUCGUAGGCGGCUUGUCGCGUCGUCCGUGAAAACUUGGGGCUCAACCCCAAGCUUGCGGUCGAUACGGGCAGGCUCGAGUUCGGUAGGGGAGACUGGAAUUCAUGGUGUAGCAGUGAAAUGCGUAGGGAUCAUGAGGAAGACCAGUGGCGAAGGCGGGUCUCUGGACAGUUCCUGACACUGAGACACGAAGGCCAGGGGAGCAAACGGG
rnacentral:rRNA from 1 species